rnacentral:rRNA from 1 species
UACGAGGGGGGCGAGCGUUGUUCGGAAUUAUUGGGCGUAAAGGGUGCGUAGGCAGUUUGGUAAGUCUUAUGUGAAAUCUACAGGCUCAACUUGUAGUCUGCAUGAGAAACUGCCGGGCUUGAGUAUGGGAGAGGUGAGUGGAAUUCCUGGUGUAGCGGUGAAAUGCGUAGAUAUCAGGAGGAACACCUGUGGCGAAAGCGGCUCACUGGACCAUAACUGACGCUGAUGCACGAAAGCUAGGGGAGCAAACAGG